rnacentral:snRNA from 1 species
AAUCUGGCUGCUGCAUCUUUCCCUUUGUUGAUCGCUGGGGCUGAUAUGGCUGGCGAGGCUGGUGUUGCCUUCCUCUCCUGAAGUUGUGGGCUGGUUGAAGAGAACGACUUUCCCUGAAUGGAGGAGGACCAGUCUUCAGUCAAGGGGAUAUGAGCAUUAUCUUAGGGAUUAGGAUUUCAGUAUAAAAUUUAGAGGGGAAACAAACAUUUAUUAACUCGUUAUAAAUUCACAUCUUAUUUCUAACUACCUUGAAACUUGU